CGGCGCGGCCAUAGCACGUUGAAUGCAUUAGUUCCCAAUGGAUCACUAAAGUUAAUCAAUGUUGCGUGUGGUUAGUAUCCAGAUGGGUGCUGCUGAUGGAUUUUCACGGUCUCACUCA
rnacentral:rRNA from 1 species